ACGGGUGAGUAACGCGUGGGAAUCUACCGUGCCCUGCGGAAUAGCUCCGGGAAACUGGAAUUAAUACCGCAUACGCCCUACGGGGGAAAGAUUUAUCGGGGUAUGAUGAGCCCGCGUUGGAUUAGCUAGUUGGUGGGGUAAAGGCCUACCAAGGCGACGAUCCAUAGCUGGUCUGAGAGGAUGAUCAGCCACAUUGGGACUGAGACACGGCCCAAACUCCUACGGGAGGCAGCAGUGGGGAAUAUUGGACAAUGGGCGCAAGCCUGAUCCAGCCAUGCCGCGUGAGUGAUGAGGGCCUUAGGGUUGUAAAGCUCUUUCACCGGAGAAGAUAAUGACGGUAUCCGGAGAAGAAGCCCCGGCUAACUUCGUGCCAGCAGCCGCGGUAAUACGAAGGGGGCUAGCGUUGUUCGGAAUUACUGGGCGUAAAGCGCACGUAGGCGGAUAUUUAAGUCAGGGGUGAAAUCCCAGAGCUCAACUCUGGAACUGCCUUUGAUACUGGGUAUCUUGAGUAUGGAAGAGGUAAGUGGAAUUCCGAGUGUAGAGGUGAAAUUCGUAGA
rnacentral:rRNA from 1 species